GGGUACUCAGAGAUCUAUAAUAUUAUGAUUAAGUUAUAUUGACAUCUCUGACAACAGAUAUGCAAGUCAUAAACUAAACUAUUCUCUCUCAGCCUGUGCUAGGUGGCUUAUGCAUCUUGGUUGAUUGGUUUUCACAAGGAAACCAAUCAACUGACCAUGUAUCUUGAACUCUUCUUGAUAAUUACAUCUUAAAAUCUUUCUUGAAUAUGCCCUCUAGAAGAUUUAUGAAAUAGUGUGUACACUGGAAAACAUGAUUUUAUAUGUAUAAAGUAAAGGAUCAGGAUAUUUGGAAAUCAAAUUGAAUGAGCUAUAGAUGCAACUGCUAAAAUUGGAAAUGAAAUUUUCUUGACAAAAACAAGCAACAGCGACUUCCAUCCCCUUCCUUUUUCUUAUAGGACAAGUCUUUUAAAUGAAUAAAAAAUACACCUAGUACAACCCAAUAACAGCACUGCCAAACAAAUAAAACCCAGAGAUGGUAACUAUACAUAUAUCUAGUUUGUCUGCACUUUGUAGUAGCCUCUACUCUUUCCAAGUACUAACAAUUGGUUUAGCCUCAGCAACAAUCAUGCACAAAAAAGAGUUCUAAUCAUAGAAACUAGAAAUUACUAAGAAAUCUACAAUCAGUCCUGAACAUGAUAGAUAUUAACAGUCCAAGCAAUCUGUCGAGCAAUCCAAAGGCUUUUUUCUCUCAAAGCCGCUUAGGCACAGUACAAAACCUGCCGAUUGGUUACAACCCCUGUAUGAAAUUCAGAAAUAGAGACAAGCCCAUAUGAUCUUAUGCUACCAACAAUGUGGAACAGGUGAGCUCCUGACUUUUUGCUUCUCUCUGAAUAAUGCACUGAGCAUCUCUUGUACAACUUUUGAGAGGUGACCCUCCUGGCCAAUCUUACUUCAAUAAACAGAAAAACUUAGAAGGAAGAAAAAGAAGGAUUCCAUAUCAUAUGCCCACAUCAUAUCAUCAUAUAAAUAUAUUUGAAAAUAGGUGAUCUAAAUAAUAGUUGAAUAUAUGCUGCACAUUCUGCUACAACCAUGUAUAAAAAACUCCUCAAGCCAUCUUCCCAUCACCUUAGCUUGAAACAAUUUCAAUGCAUAAGAAUCAUAUUCCUUCAAAAUAUAAUCCUUAACAGAUAUUUAGUGUAUAGCCUUCCUUAUAUUUCACAGGCAUCAAAAGAUCCUCAGUUAAAGAAUAUGAAGACAAGGAAAGUGGAGAAAACAUUAGUUGACAAUUUCACUAUGCUCAGCAAUGUAAUCGUUCAGAGGCCACCAAUACAAGAUCUCCACAUCAAGGAAAGAUAGCAUGAUUAUUUACUAAGCAACUUCUUCAUUUUGUUAUGGUAAUAAGCUUUGAAGCAUAAAUGAUCUUAAUAAUAAGGUCCAUUGGCCUUCAUUCAAGCUGUGAAAAUAUUAAGAAACAAUUAAGCACACGAUAAUAGUCUUUUAUGGAACAAGGCACAAUCGAGAUAGAAGGUAUUGAACUUAAAAUUUUCAGGUUUCAUUCAAAUGUAAUGUCUUACAAUGGUGAAAAGAAAAAGAAGUUGCAACACCAAUACAACAAAAAGACUGAUUAAUUUUUUCUUUGACCAAAAAUGAAGAAAUUGCCCACUGACGAAGUAUACAGGAAAAAAUAUACUAGUCCAAUAUUGCAUCAAUUUUCUUUGACUAACUAUGUACAUUAAACUUAUAUAUAUAUAUGUAUGCUUUACAGGCUAUCAGAAUGUUUCUUUAUAUAUUACACAAGGUUAGCAGGGAUUAUCAUGAUGCAACAUAACAUAGAUUGAUAUGUACCAUUUUUUGACAAGCAAUUUCUCAUGCUACUUCCUCAGCUCAGGAAUAUCAAUUACUCUAGUUGAUUAGAUUCUUAAAUAGUCACAAAACCAGGUGCAAA
rnacentral:misc_RNA from 1 species